rnacentral:rRNA from 1 species
GAUGAACGCUGGCGGCGUGCCUAAUACAUGCAAGUCGAGCGAACGGACAAGAAGCUUGCUUCUCUGAUGUUAGCGGCGGACGGGUGAGUAACACGUGGAUAACCUACCUAUAAGACUGGGAUAACUUCGGGAAACCGGAGCUAAUACCGGAUAAUAUUUUGAACCGCAUGGUUCAAAAGUGAAAGACGGUCUUGCUGUCACUUAUAGAUGGAUCCGCGCUGCAUUAGCUAGUUGGUAAGGUAACGGCUUACCAGGGCAACGAUGCAUAGCCGACCUGAGAGGGUGAUCGGCCACACUGGAACUGAGACACGGUCCAGACUCCUACGGGAGGCAGCAGUAGGGAAUCUUCCGCAAUGGGCGAAAGCCUGACGGAGCAACGCCGCGUGAGUGAUGAAGGUCUUCGGAUCGUAAAACUCUGUUAUUAGGGAAGAACAUAUGUGUAAGUAACUGUGCACAUCUUGACGGUACCUAAUCAGAAAGCCACGGCUAACUACGUG